rnacentral:tRNA from 1 species
GGGGUUGUGGCUCAGUGGUAGAGUGCUUGCCUAGCAUGUGUGAAGCACUGGGUUCAAUUCUCAGCACCA